rnacentral:rRNA from 1 species
AGUGAACGCUGGCGGUAGGCCCAACACAUGCAAGUCGAACGGCAGCACAGGAGAGCUUGCUCUCUGGGUGGCGAGUGGCGGACGGGUGAGGAAUACAUCGGAAUCUACUUUUUCGUGGGGGAUAACGUAGGGAAACUUACGCUAAUACCGCAUGCGACCUACGGGUGAAAGCAGGGGACCUUCGGGCCUUGCGCGAUUGAAUGAGCCGAGGUCGGAUUAGCUAGUUGGCGGGGUAAAGGCCCACCAAGGCGACGAUCCGGAGCUGGUCUGAGAGGAUGAUCAGCCACACUGGAACUGAGACACGGUCCAGACUCCUACGGGAGGCAGCAGUGGGGAAUAUUGGACAAUGGGCGCAAGCCUGAUCCAGCCAAACCGCGUGGGUGAAGAAGGCCUUCGGGUUGUAAAGCCCUUUUGUUGGGAAAGAAAUCCAGCUGGCUAAUACCCGGUUGGGAUGACGGUACCCAAAGAAUAAGCACCGGCUAACUUCGUGCCAGCAGCCGCCGUAA